UUGGCCAUCUACAACCCAACCUCUCUGGGCAGCCUAUCCCUGUGCAUCACCACCCUCUGUGUGAAACACUUUCUUCUAAUAUCUAAGCUCAAUCUCCCCAGUCUCAGCUGAAAACCAUUCCCCCUUGUUCUAUCACAGUCAACCCUUGUUCUAUCACAAUUCACCCACAUUGUCCUAAGACGGUAAUUAGAUACUCAUUGAAAGAAAAAUAUCCACAAUUUAAAUUCUCUCAUUCCUUUUUACCAUGUAGUAUCUAUACAAAAAAAUAAUAGUUAUAACAUAAAUGUAUAGAAGAUUCUGACUCAAAUUUUGCUUGGGUCCUUUUUUCCUACCUGUCAGACUGAAAACAUUAACCAGACUCCUGCUGCACUCUUGCUGCUUGUGGGGACAUCUGAUUUAAAAAAUUACUUAUUUAGAUGACUUCAUUUCUGAAAUAGAUGCAUGUUGGCAACAUGCUUAGUUUGAAGCUUUAUUUUUUUUUCCAGCUAUCCCUUAUUCUAUAAGGAAAGUCUAUCUUCACAGACCUUACCUUAAGGAGACUUAAAGAGAACGUGACUUUCUUCCACCAUAUUAAGAAUAUCCUUGACUGAAAUCUUGGCUGUAGCACACAUAUGUAUAAAGACUUACUUUAAAUUACGAACAAACAAAAAACAACACCAAAUCUUGUCAAAUUCAUAGAAUAAAACAGACUGAUUCUGGUGUCCUCAUGUCUUUGUCUUAUUUAUAGCAGCACAUUAGCAGGGUUGUCAUGGAUACUGAGUCAGGUUUCAUUUUGCCAACUUGCAGUCAUUUUACCAAAUUGCAGACAUGCCAAAACUUUUCCCUUUCCAGUUUUUAGAGAUAACCAUCCUUAUGGACUUAAUUGAGAUUCCACUGAAAUAAGGGAAAAGCCUUUGUUCAUUUUAAUAGAUUUUGCACUAGAAUGUUAGGUGAACAGUACAGUGCAUGUAAAUAUUCUGUUUCUUAAUAGUUGUCUGACAUUUUUUAUAUCUUAUUCCAGUACUGAAAAAUGGAUAAAUAUUAUGAUCCAUGCCAGAAGUCACCAAACACCAUCAAGCUUCUGCCAGCUUACUCUUAAGCUGUUCUUGCAUUUUGCUAUUCCUUCUAUGGCCUGAGCAGUCUGAAAAUUUUAUUCAGUAUGUCUUACGGUGCUGCAAGUAUUGCCAUGGUGCUUUGCUACCUUUUUCUAAUCAGCAGAUGGAGCCACAAGGGAAUUUUAAAAAAAGGUAUAUUUUCCUCAGGACUGCCAAAAUAUGCUUCAUAUUUCCAGGAGAUGAGCUAGGUAAUGAGGCGUUAUGAAGAAAGGUGUGUCAUUGAAGCAAGGGUGUAU